GUGCUUGCUUUGGCAGCACAUAUACUAAAGUUGGAGCGAUACAGAGAAUAUUAGCAUGGCCUCUGUGCAAGGAUGACACACAAAUUCAUGAAACAUUCCAUAUUUAA